ACAAUCUGAAAUGAGAAGUUGUGUCAGUUCAAACUUCAGGUGGGAAACUAUGCUACAGGCUCUAGCCUGUGAGGUCUGAAAGAUGCCUGGAUGACCCAAGCACGAUGCAAGCUCUCGCGUAUAGAAGAAACCAGAACCGACUAUCCCAGCCAAGAAACCCAAAGCAGCCGCAAUGGACAUUUCUUUAAUCAGUGUAAUGAUAUUCCAAGGAGAUAGGAUGUUUGGGAAGUGCUGAGUAUCCUACUAUCAUGCUCAGGGAGAGCUUGCUUUCCCUCCUCCAUCACGGGAGAACAUAGCAAGAAGGUGUGACUAUGCACCAGGAGGCUCUCACCAGAUGCCCAAUCUUCUGGCACCAUACUCUUGAGAUGUAGCCUCAAAACUGUGGGAGGACAAUGUCUACAUUAAGUGCUGAAUAAACAAAUGAACGCCCGUACAGGCGCAGACAGAGGAAUUACGUGCCGUCUCCUCUGCCCUUGUGUGUCCGCUCCAGCCUUGCGAGUACCGAGAGAGGGACACUGAUGCCCUAGAGUUCUUAGAAGUUUUGAAACUACUGGGAGAAAAACCGGGAUUACGAUUGGAAUGGAGAAUGGGGGAAGCAGCUCAAAGAGAGGUUAGUGUUGGUUCCAGAUAGUUGGAAAAUCAUAGUACCAGGAAUAUUAAAAUCUUCAUAACACAAUUAUAAGAAAAUUGAAAGAGUAACUGCUCUCAGUGAUUCUUUUUAGACAUUGUGAACAUCUGCGACUACUUGCUAGAGCAUGACUGUCUUCAGGAGAUGGUAGGUCAUAUACGGAGUACACAUAUGUAUGUCUAUACGCUUCUUACCUAAAUGAUUAUACAUGCACAUUUCCUGAAAAGCCUAGCAAUCUGCUAAACUGGGAGAUGACAAAUGUGGUUCUCUUUCCAAAGACCUAGAGAGGA